AGAAAUAAUAAAUGAAGGUAACAAGCAUUAGUAAGAAGUAUCUAGAAUCUAGAAGGCAAAAAUGUUCUCUUUUUGAGGGAGACAAUGACCAGCACAAAAGUCAUAAAUAAUGAUGAAGCAGGAUAUUACUUGAUUCUCACAAUAUAACUGUUUUAAUUUGUUUCAAUAACAUAAGUCAUAAAGAGAUGCAAAGGAGGUUCUUACUCUUUCAAAUAAAUAAUCUUUGUUAGGCACCAAGGAGUGCUACUCCAUUACACUAAGGGCAGACGAUUUCAAAUCAGUAAAAAAAAAUGGCACUAUUUUUCAAAAUCAAUCAUCUUGCCAAUAAAAAAUUUAGUCAUGCAGCCUCCUCUCUUUAGUUUAUCUAAAGAGGAUGCAUUUCUCUCAAAAGCACUUACUCCUCUCUCUAAAUUAUCCAAAUGCUCUAAAAAGGAGUCUCUUCAAGCAUAAAACCACAUUUAAAAAUUUUCUUCAUAAGCCAAGCAAACCCCCUAGCUCACCAUAUACCAAAACCAAAGAGUACUAAUCCAUGCAAAGUGGAGGAGUAAGUGGUUCACCAACUCACCAUGACUCUCUCAGAAAUUCAAUCACACAGUAUGUGAGAGCACACACAAAUAUAGACAAGGAUAAAACAAGACAUGAAAAUUUUACAUGGAACAGCGGUUUACCUAUAUAUAUAGAGCCAUUGGCAUUACUC
rnacentral:misc_RNA from 1 species